AUUGAACGCUGGCGGCAUGCCUUACACAUGCAAGUCGAACGGCAGCGGACCUUCGGGUGCCGGCGAGUGGCGAACGGGUGAGUAAUAUAUCGGAACGUACCUUUCAGUGGGGGAUAACGUAGCGAAAGUUACGCUAAUACCGCAUAUUCUGUGAGCAGGAAAGCAGGGGAUCGCAAGACCUUGCGCUGAUUGAGCGGCCGAUAUCAGAUUAGCUAGUUGGUGAGGUAAAGGCUCACCAAGGCGACGAUCUGUAGCGGGUCUGAGAGGAUGAUCCGCCACACUGGAACUGAGACACGGUCCAGACUCCUACGGGAGGCAGGCAGUGGGGAAUUUUGGACAAUGGGCGCAAGCCUGAUCCAGCCAUGCCGCGUGAGUGAAGAA
rnacentral:rRNA from 1 species